rnacentral:rRNA from 1 species
UGGCGAACGGGUGAGUAACACGUGAGUAACCUGCCCACAACUUUGGGAUAACGCUAGGAAACUGGUGCUAAUACUGGAUAUGUGCUCCUGCUGCAUGGUGGGGGUUGGAAAGCUCCGGCGGUUGUGGAUGGACUCGCGGCCUAUCAGCUUGUUGGUGGGGUAGUGGCCUACCAAGGCGGCGACGGGUAGCCGGCCUGAGAGGGUGACCGGCCACAUUGGGACUGAGAUACGGCCCAU